UUUUCUAGUGCAGGAAAGAGAAAAGC
rnacentral:piRNA from 1 species